GACGGGGGAUGCGAGCGUUAUCCGGAAUGAUUGGGCGUAAAGCGUCUGCAGGUGGCAGUUCAAGUCUGCUGUCAAAGACCGGGGCUUAACUUCGGAAAGGCAGUGGAAACUGAACAGCUAGAGUAUGGUAGGGGCAGAGGGAAUUCCUGGUGUAGCGGUGAAAUGCGCAGAUAUCAGGAGGAACACCAGCGGCGAAGGCGCCGCUCUGGGCCGUAACUGACGCUGAGGAGCGAAAGCAUGGGUAGCAAACAGG
rnacentral:rRNA from 1 species